CAGGACCCUGGGAUCAUGAUCUGAGCCAAAGGCAGAUGCUUAACCAACUGAACUACUCAGGAGAUGCUUCGGAUGCCCAGUCACCAUAACGUGAGCCUGGUUGGCAACAGCCGCCAUCUUGGAGCUUACCGUAGGUUUUUUCUGUGCGCGAUCGUGCUGGAGAAAGGAACUCUUGAAUCCUUAUGGGGCCCUACUCAUGAAGACAUUGAGAGGCUGACUAAUAGAACAAUGAAUGUUUCACAAAGAAAAAGAUUUGCUUCAUUAGAGGCACAAGCACAUGAAUAUAUUUGGUUUUCCUCAAAAUAAGAAAGGAAUCUUAGGAAAUUCAAUCACAUCUUAUUAAGGCAAGUAAUGUAAAUGAUUAGCUUUAGAAAUAAAACUGCCAACAGAAGAGUUUAUAGGAUUUUUUUUUUUUUGCUGAAGAUAUUGACAGUGGUAGGAUUAUUUUAUUAUUAAAAUGUGAUACACAUCCAAAUGUUUGCAUAUAAGGAA